UUAAGUUCAGCGGGUAUUCCUACCUGAUCCGAGGUCAACUUUCAGAAGUGGGGUGUUUUACGGCAUGGCCACCGCCGAGCUCCAGGCCGCGAGGUUGUGCUACUACGCGGAGGAGGGCUACAGCGAGACCGCCACUGAAUUUCGGGGCCGGCAGCGCCCCGGAGGGCGCCGCGCCGAUCCCCAACGCCAGGCACUGGGGG
rnacentral:misc_RNA from 1 species